rnacentral:rRNA from 1 species
GAUGAACGCUGGCGGCGUGCCUAAUACAUGCAAGUCGAGCGGUAAGGCCCCUUCGGGGGUACACGAGCGGCGGACGGCUGAGUAACACGUAGGAACGUACCCCAAAGUGAGGGAUAAGCACCGGAAACGGUGUCUAAUACCGCAUGUGAUCUUCGGAUUAAAGCUUUAUGCGCUUUGGGAGCGGCCUGCGUAAGAUUAGCUUGUUGGUGAGGUAAGAGCUCACCAAGGCGACGAUCUUUAGCUGGUCUGAGAGGAUGAUCAGCCAGACUGGGACUGAGACACGGCCCAGACUCCUACGGGAGGCAGCAGUAGGGAAUUUUCCACAAUGGGCGAAAGCCUGAUGGAGCAACGCCGCGUGCAGGAUGAAGGCCUUCGGGUCGUAAACUGCUUUUAUAUGUGAAGAUUAUGACGGUAGCAUAUGAAUAAGGAUCGGCUAACUCCGUGCCAGCAGCCGCGGUAA